UACGAAGGGGGCUAGCGUUGUUCGGAAUUACUGGGCGUAAAGCGCACGUAGGCGGAUUUGUAAGUUAGGGGUGAAAUCCCGGGGCUCAACCUCGGAACUGCCUUUGAUACUGCAAGUCUCGAGUCCGGAAGAGGUGAGUGGAAUUCCUAGUGUAGAGGUGAAAUUCGUAGAUAUUAGGAAGAACACCAGUGGCGAAGGCGGCUCACUGGUCCGGUACUGACGCUGAGGUGCGAAAGCGUGGGGAGCAAACAGG
rnacentral:rRNA from 1 species